rnacentral:rRNA from 1 species
GACGAACGCUGGCGGCGCGCCUAACACAUGCAAGUCGAACGAGAGAUGAGGAGCUUGCUUCCUCAAUCGAGUGGCGAACGGGUGAGUAACGCGUGAGGAACCUGCCUCAAAGAGGGGGACAACAGUUGGAAACGACUGCUAAUACCGCAUAAGCCCACAGCUCGGCAUCGAGCAGAGGGAAAAGGAGCAAUCCGCUUUGAGAUGGCCUCGCGUCCGAUUAGCUAGUUGGUGAGGUAACGGCCCACCAAGGCGACGAUCGGUAGCCGGACUGAGAGGUUGAACGGCCACAUUGGGACUGAGACACGGCCCAGACUCCUACGGGAGGCAGCAGUGGGGAAUAUUGCACAAUGGGGGAAACCCUGAUGCAGCGACGCCGCGUGGAGGAAGAAGGUCUUCGGAUUGUAAACUCCUGUUGUUGAGGAAGAUAAUGACGGUACUCA